CCCUUAGAUGUUCUGGGCGGCCCGCGCACUACAUUGGCACUGGCAACAAGAUCCUAGAUCUGAUACUUCGGGGUAUUCUACCAACUGGUGUCGUGACUGGGAUUAACCCCUGCAAUUAUUGGUUAUGAACGAGGAAUUCCUUGUAAUCACGGUUUAUCAACCCGUGUCGAAUGCGUCCCUGCCCUUUGUACACACCGCCCGUCGCUCCUACCGAUGAAUCGUCCGGUGAAGUUCAUGGAGUCGCGGCUGCUCCAGCUGUUUUCGAAGUGAAAUGGACCUCAUGAUUUAGAGGAAGGAGAAGUCGUAACA
rnacentral:rRNA from 1 species